rnacentral:rRNA from 1 species
UACGGGGGGGGCAAGCGUUGUUCGGAAUUACUGGGCGUAAAGGGCUCGUAGGCGGCCAACUAAGUCGGAUGUGAAAUCCCCAGGCUCAACUUGGGAACUGCAUCCGAUACUGGAUGGCUUGAAUUCGGGAGAGGGAUGCAGAAUUCCAGGUGUAGCGGUGAAAUGCGUAGAUAUCUGGAGGAAUACCGGUGGCGAAGGCGGUUAGCUGGGCAGUUGCUGACACUGAGGCGCGACAGCGUGGGGAGCAAACAGG